GGCUGCUGCUCUCACUGGCAGGACAACACAGUAAAGGGUGGCAUGGAGGGAAAACAAAGAACAGGAGACACACAGGAAGACAACAGCAUACAUCAUCUUUAAGUUAGUAGAGUGUAUUUCAAUCUUGGUGGCAACAACAUGAAUGUUAGAGAAGAGGCAUGUGUCCCAUCGCUCAACUCAUAGGAACAGCACGAAAAAUAGAGCAAUGUAAAUUAGAGAUGCUCUCCCCUGCUUCCACAGUUGGCGUGCCCUUGAGUAAGGCAGCAACAAGUAGUAAAAGGUACAGGUCAGCUGCCACGAGUGGAUUUGUGUAACUGUUUAGAGUGAGUACCAGGGUGUCAACGAAAAGAGCACGCAUGCUCAGCAAACCAUCCCUGGACUAAUAAAGGGCGCUGCUUUCAAAACCGGCACAGCACUGGAGAGAAACCACAUUGGAUGCAGAUGAGACCAAACCCAAACCACAAGAUGACAGAUAAGCAGUCAUUAAUGUGUUCCCCAGGUGAUUAACUGCACAGUCCUACCUGGACCAAAUCACCACAGCGGCUCACCUGAGUGCCCCAGCAGCGGUCUCCCUGACAGCCAGGCUGCGGUCCAGCAGCAUGGGCCCCAGCCGCCUCACAGCGUCCCUCUGC